rnacentral:tRNA from 1 species
AGCCCGGUGGUGUAGUGGUCUAGCAUAGCACGGACGUUGUGGCCAGAUUUCCAAUGCGUCCCUAGUAGGCUCUGGACCUGCUGACGGGAGUUCGAAUCUCCCCCGGGCUA